UGAAGAGUGAAUGGAGCUCGGCAUCUCUAAUCUGAAGCACAGGACGCAGAACGAAGGGGGGUUGAAAAGCUCGGUCGGUCCUAAACAUAGCAAGGUGGGGUGAAAAGAUACCUAAAUUCUACAUACCUCUGUGUGGAAACCAGACAUCUGUUUCCUGCAGCUGUACUGUGCUGCCCUGGCUGGAUCUUUUCUUCAGAGAGAACUUCUCCACUACUUGUUGUAGAUUGCCUGUUCCAGCAUCAGAACCUGUAAGAGCAGACCUACAGUUAAGUAUGUUGUACUGGACAUGGCAGAGUUGGUACAGACAAAUGCAAGUUUUUAAAUAUUUCCAGCCAUUGUCCCAAGCCCUGGGGCCAUCUUUCCAUAACAAAAGACCAACUGCCAUUCGUGAAGAAGUGUGCGAGGGAGUGGCAUGUCCAUGAGGGCAGCUGCUAAAGAAAUUUCUCAAAGAAAUAGAAACUCAGAAUUGUGUCAUUAAGGACCUUGGAAAAAUGCACUGGCCGCAACAUUCAGAGGCUGCUAGGAACUUGCACGUGAUGGCCCUCGAGUCAUGAAUUGGCACAACCUUUCCUGAGAAUUCUGAUUGACGUUGCUGUAAUUCAACACCAGAUAAAAGAAGCAAGCUUCAUCCAGACUCUUCUUUCCUGUCUCAGCAACUAAAAGGAAAGACAAAGGACUGGGGUGUCACUUUCAGCUAUUGGCUGCCUCCUCAACCUGCCCAUUUCCAGACAGACUGCACCAACUCACCCUCUUCUGCUCUCCAAGUUCAAUUUCUCAUGGCUGGUGUUCAGGGCAUUGUCUGUGUCCCUCCUGGCUUCUAUUUGCUUGUCCAAAGCAAUGUUUUAACUGUGCCCAGACAAGCCAGGGCCCUGUCUGGACUUCUAACUCCUCUGUGCUCAUAGCUUAUCUCCCUGCCUGCCUGCCUGACUGUCUUACUGACCCCUUAUUCUGGUUUUUGGUUACCUUCCUGCUUCAUCGGUACUAGACUUUCUUUUGCUUUACCAUUGAAACUGGCUUUUAUUACCUCUGCUUAUCUGCCUAGCCACAUACUUCUACCGGUGUGACUUCUAUAGGUCCCACCUAUCUGUCUGGGUGCUUACUGGAACUCUUUCCCUCCCUCCUGUCUUAUCACCACAGUGCCCUAUCCCCAUGGCUUUGGCCCAGCCAGCCAUAUACUUCUAGUAUGACAGUAACCACCAAAAGUUCAUAUCCUUUUAAGCUUCCUUACCUAAGUUAAGACUAUUAUUUUUUUUACUGUUUUAUUUUGGAAAUUUUCAAACCUACAGAAAACAAACCUGCAAAAAGAAACAAUACAAUGAGCCCUUACUGAGAGACACUAUUUAACUUUGCAAUAUUUGCUUUAUCUGUUUAUAUACAUAUUUGUAUCUGUAUAUUUUGCAUACUAUAUAUGGCUAAUUAUUUAAUACUCAGGAGUUACCUGUAAGAGACUUUAUUCUUAAAUUCUUUUGUAUAUAUCUUUUUUAAAAGAUCACAAAACCCAGCUGCACACACCUAUAAUCCAAGCCCUCAGGAAACUGAGGCAAGCAGUUCUCAAGUCCAAGGGUAGUCCAGACAAUACAGUGAGACCCUGUCUCAGAGAAAGAGAGAAAGAGAUACACACAGAGAGACAGAGAAUGGAGGCAAGGAAGAAGGAAGAGAGCAGAGGGUGGGCAGGAGGAAAAGCAAUAUGUCUAUGCUCAAGAAAUUUAAUAUAAAUAAAAUACUCCUGUCUAAUGUACCAUCCAGGUCAAGAUUUCCCCCAUUUGUCUCAGUAAUUCCUUUAGAGCUAUUUUAUGUUUUUCCCUAGUCCAGGAUCCAACAAAAGAUCAUUUGAUGUAUUUCAUUGUCCUGUUAAUCGGCUUCCUUUACCUAGAACCAUGGACCUAGUACCAUGUUCCACUCUUUUCCACUCCUUUUCUAUCUUCUGUGACCUGUGCUGGUAUUUUGAAGGACCAGUGCUUUAGAUCAUCAAAUGUUUACUGAGUGCUCACUCUCGGCCAGGUUCCAUUCUGGAUCCUGGGGAUACAGAGGCAAAACAAACUGAACCCCUGUACUCAGAGAGCUAAGAAAGGGAGAAGGGUGUGAUUGUGUGUGAUUAAGAACAUGGAGCAGAGAUGCGCCAGCCUAGACACUGAUGAUGAGAAAGAUUAGAGUGAAAGGAGAGAGGAUAAGAAGAUUCCUGGGGUAGAAAGCAUCACAACAGACCUACAGAAUCACACAUGUUCUGAGCCAAGUUGUAGAGACUAAAGUAAGGGAACUCCUUUGGGCUCCCUAAAACUUGGUAAUACAAGGCAGGGAACUAUUCAUUCACUUGGUUGCUGUGAAUAUUAAAGUUAGCGGUGAUGGAAAUCUGCCCAGCAUUAGCCUCUAGAUCUGCUAUUUUGAGAUUUCCUGGUUCCUCUCUGCUAGAGGAAGUGGCUCACUUCUCCCAGGACAAUGAGUUCCUUGUGCCUUUCUUUCUAGCUGCCAUCCAAUCUUCAGAGUUAGUUAUAAAGUGAUUCCAUUUCCAAAAUCCUGAAGCUCACAGAUAAAAGACAAGUAAGAACUGCAAAGUCUCUGAAGGUGCCUUUCAUCACCAUCUUGGUGUCCUCAUAAGACUGCCAGAGGUUUAGGGCACUGAUGGGCUCAUUGACAUACCCUCUCAGGAAUACAUCCACUUCUCAGGUGGCCACACUGUUCUGCAGAGCAACUUAAACAUCCAGUUUCCAAAGAUCCUUCUUAGGGUUGCUCAUUCUGAGAGGGUUGUUUGUCUGAAUACUGUUUUUAGUAUAUUCAUUUAUAAUAUUUACAGCAUUGCAUUUUUUAAUAUACUGCAUUUUGUCAUCCUUCCCAUCAAGACUACAUGUCUCAUGAAGAGGGGGACCAGCUCUUGCAGCAUUCUCACUAUUCAUCACCUUACGUGUUACAUGGAAUUUCAUAGAAUUUUCUGGAUGAAAGAACAGUAGAAAUUGUGGGUAUAUGCUUCAGAAACAGACAUUCUUUAAUAUGGGUAUGCCAUCAGCAUGCUUGUGGCCUGCAUUUGUUUCUAGAUUCUGUGCUAGAGUGAGAAUUGAUCUACAACUCUAGCUCCAUGUUUUCUUGGUUCACUCUUCAGGGGAAAACUUGGCUAUGAGCCUGGAAUUCUUGAACUUCAGAAAUAGCAAGUGCUUUAGAGGUAGUCCAGUGGCUGUCUGACCUGCUUAAAGACCCCAAAGACAGAUUACUUUCUUUGGGCUUUUGGCAAUCCAUCCUAUUGUUGGAUGGUUCUUUUGGCUAAAAUGCCCUCCUUUUUUGACCUGAUAUCUGCCUUCUUAGAACAUCUUCCCCUGUUCUACUCUCUGUUCUCCAAAAGAACAACUCAGGCCUUCCUGCCUUCCCAGGCUGCCCUGGGGAGUAUUUGUCUCCUGUGACUUUUCUCCAGAAUCCACCUCUCUAGGCCCUUUCCAAACCCUGCCACAACCUCAAGUUUCCAUACUCCCAUCCUGACCACCCUCCAGUCUUUCAGGGCAACUUUGCAGUAGGAUCCUUGAGAAGAACUGCCUCUCACUGACCGUGUGUGCGUGGAGCAAGGGCCUCACUUCUGCCCACCCACACCCAGCAGAGCAGCAGCACACAGAGGGUGCUGAGCGGUUAUUGCCCACUUGUCUCCAGCAUCACAAUGGAAAAUUUUACAUUAACUCUGGAUGGUUAGAGAGUUUUCAUCUCCAUCUCAAUAGAUAGACAGACUGACUCCCAGAAAAAAUAUACUGAUUAUUGACCAAUGAUUAUGCCAGAAAUAGAAGUCAAGUCUUUCAAGCCUUGCAUACCUGAGCCAGUGAAAUGUACUGUUUUUCCAUAACUCAUUUUUUUCACAAAGGUAAAAAUACUAGAUCCUCUAGUACUGAAAAGUUAAAACCAGAAAUGUUUUGAUCGAAACUGGGAUGAGGCUCAGAGCUUCCCUGUAAAGGCCCCUGGGACUUUGUGGAGCACAGUUGGAAAGGGCUGUGAAAUUCUACACUGGCCUUCCCCUAUCAAAGGCAGCCAGGAUCCCACCUGAUCAGCCUUAAGAGAGCUAGCACCUCACAGAGCAUGGGCAUGAUGCUUCACUUUUCUAGUACAUCUCCUUAGAACAAGACCUAAUGACCACACCUAAUUCAGACAUCAUCAAUCCUGAUUGCUAGAUCCCUCAAAUCUAAGCUGACAUCCUUAGCAAGGAAGACUCACACUGGUUUGUGUCCACCUCUGGUGAGGCCUAGCACCAUCAUCUUAAUUACUCAUCACAUCUAUUAACUUCCAAGAAGCAGAAAGCACUGUCUGCAAUCACGUAUGAGUAAAAAUGAGCUGGAAAUGUGAGCUGACUGCUGGGAAAUACAAAAACAAGACCAUAUCUUUUUUAUUGUUUUUCUUUUUGUCUGAUAAAUGGCAGAGAACUCAGAUUUGCUAUCCUAACUCCAGAUGACAGGAAAAUAACAGUUCCUUGUAUUCAUAAAGUCCAUCCCAUUCCAUCUUUUCCCUUGGUUUUUCCCCCCUUUGUACACAUGAGGGAGCUGGUUCUCAGAGAAGACAAACUACUCACCUAGCAAAAGGAAGAAGCCAGGAACAGAACCAGGUCUCCUACUUUGGGGGUUGGGUUUCUGUUCAUGUCUCAAAGUGGGAUCCACUACAGUCAUAUCAUCUUCCCCUGAAAAGUGGGAACCAGGAAC